rnacentral:lncRNA from 10 species
GCCUGGUCACUCAGUCCCUAUAGCAUUUAGGGCUGGAUACCAGAAGUUCCACCACUGCUGUUCCAAAGAACUGGAUGCCUUUGCAACUGCCCUGGUCAUAAGAUCAUUUGCCCCACCUGGCUGCCUCCUUCUUCUGAAUCUAGGUUUCACCCAGGUGUGUCUGAUUCAUGGCACCUGGGUCAUAUGUCUGAUCCUGAGCCACAAAGAGGUCUGGGGAUGAGAAUUUUCUGGCUUCUACCUGGAGAAUGUUGGACUCAGAAUGGAGAAAGGAAGGGCAUUGAAUGGCCACAACUAUGUGCUAUUUCUUUUUACUAGCUGUGUGAUCAUGGGUAGCCAACCCAGUCUAAUGGAAAAUUUGGAAGGAUGUUCAUCAUCUUGCCGCGUCUCUGUUUGUGUUCUAUUUCAGCCUAACAUGAAGGGAGCAUCAUCUUCGUUUUCACCAGCUCAGAGGGCAAAGCAUCUUGUCCUGGGUCACACAGCACAUCUGCAGAGAAACUGGUAGGGGUUGGGACAGCAGUUUCCCACUUUCUGUGCUGAGCUAUUCCUGCUCGCCAUGUAACCAGUGUCUCCACAACUUCUGACUGUGGUAGGAUAAUGGGGUGGGAGGUAUGGGUGCCUGGAUUUCAGCUUUCUGGAGGGAAAUCUUGACAUGCUUUUAUUUUCUUGUUUCUUUGGGGUGGAGCAAAUAAAAGGCAGUCAGGGGGUCCAUCAGGCCCAUGGGUACUGGUUCCAGGCAUAGCCUGUCAGUGGGAAUAUCUGGCCUCAAUGAAAGGAGCAGCUUGGAUGCUCCUCCUCAUGGCCAGUCUCCAGAGAGGCCUACUGCUCACCAGAUGUGUGGAUGAACAAACCUGAACAGCCUGGAGGCUGGUGAUAUCUACCCCCACAGCGCUUCUUCCUUGGUCCCCCAAGCAGGCUCCAUAACUCCAAGACUUCACGCAGCCUUUUCUGAACUUGGAAGUCAAGAGAAAAUUCACAGAACUUUGGAAAAUACAUUUUCUUUUAAGGAAGAAUUUUUUGUUUUCAUUUCAACAGCCCUGGCUGGUGAUGAGGGGUGAUGCGAGGUGCCCUGUUUUCCAUCCUAACACCUAUUUCCAGGUGGGGGCAGGGAGGGCUCCAACCUGAAAUGUUAUUUCAAAACCUUUCCGGGCCUUGCAGCUCCAUUUCCAGGCCACAUGCUGCAAAGCACGGCACGAUUUCCCAUUACGUGCUGUUGCCCUUUCUCGUCUGAGCACCUUUCAAAGUGGGAAGACCCAGCCUGCUGCAACACCCUCCCUCCUGUCCCCAUAAAUUAAGUCUCACUGCCUGAUGUGAGGCUUAAAUAAAUAGCCUUGCCCGGCACCCGAUGGCCACACUCCUGAUAGAUGGGCUUGCCAAGAGCAGCAAACUCAGCUCGCUCCUCCUUGCCCCUCCACAGAGAGAAGAUGAAACUGGUGUUUUGCAAAUGCUUCCUGCCUGCUUUCUGCCAGCCAAGGCACAUUCCAAGAAGGAGCAGGCCAGCAAAGUCUUGUCAUCUGACGGGGUGAGGACAGAGAUGGAUGAUGCGCUCUUUGCCAGAGAAGGCCACGUUCAGACACUCCCAGAUAGCCAGCUGCCACUUUAUUAACAGCAAAGAUCCCCAUCUGAACGAGGCUGGGAAAGAAAAUAUUUAUGCUUGCCUGUCAGGAGGACCUUCAUUUUUCUUCUGGGGAGCCAGCCAGGGUGCUAGUCCAGGGAUGGAGGAGUGUGACGUGCCUAUGGGGUUGCCCCAGGCCCUUCUGCAUCCCAGGGUUGAUGGAGAGUCCAGAAUGUUCCCAGGGCAGCUCUGGAUGGGGUCGGGAGGUUUCAGAAGAGCUGGAUAUAGGGAGUUCAGGGCCUGAGAAAGCAGAACACACCCUGGCACCUGUUAACUGCAAACAAGAGGACCUGGGUGGGGGAGUGGGUGCUACAGUUAGAAAUCAGUGGCAAAUAGGCCAUUAAAUGAUCUCAUUAUUAAUUAAAAACACAUAGCAGCAUGCAUCUGAUAAGAAACUUUGUACUAAGGAUAAAAUAAUUUUGUAUUGGCAGAAAAUAUCAACACUGGAGCAGAGCUUAUCAUUUAAGCUGGGCAUAUAUUAAAAUCAGUUUAUAUUAUUACUCUUCUCAUGGUCAUUAUUUUGAACAAAAGUUGAAAACCAGUUCUUUAACGGUUUC